CUCUGAGCACUCUGGUUGGGGUUCACUGGCUCUGACUGGGCUCUGACGGGUUUCUGGGGCUCUGACGGGGCUGCAGCUCCAGCCUGUUCUCCACACAGAAAAUCCAUCUCCUCCUUUUCCUGACGGGAACGUUCUGAAUUACUCCUGAGAUAGAAGGAAUGCAGAGUGCCUUAAAUAUAAACAAUACAGACUAAGUGGCACAGAAAUCAAUUAGCCCCGUGCAUAGAAGAGGCCGUGUCCAGGUUAUCUGCCAUUUAGUGUAAAUUCUCACGGGAUGGUGCUGGGAUCCUCCACACCUGCUGUUCUACUCACCCCGCUGCAUGUCCACAUCCCACUGUGCACGUGCCAUACAUUUACAGGAACGAGACUAAGUUAUUCUGACAACCUGGCUUUUUCCUUUCAUAAUAUGUCACUAAGAGUCAAAGACAAAAUUUUGUGCAACAGGAAAGGUCCAUGAAUAGUUUCCCUGGCUCCUCAAUCCUACCUGUCUUGCUCCCCCCAGGUGUUUCUGCACACCCAAAUCCUGCUGGCAGGUCACAGGGCCUUGUUCCAGUCCCACUCCUGCCCUCGCUGCCUUGGCUAUGGACAACCAGGGCCUGGGACCCUGGGGCAAGGCCAGGAAUGCCCAGCACGGAGCACCAAGCACAGGCACAAACCAAGGGCUGUGUGUCAGCUGUGCUGUGUUUUUGCCAGAGGGACGUAGGCGGGAGCAGGAAUGUGGACAGGAUUGAUCUGGGGCUUCCAGAACUCCUCCACCACACUGACCGGUGUGUCACAGGGCCGGAAUGACUGACAGGGCCAUUUCCUCACCCCAGGGAGUGUCACCAGGUGAGUCAGGAGGUACGAGGACCAGGUGUUCAAACAGUCACUUUGCAGUUUAUUCACUGCCCCGGUGCUGCCCAGAGCUGUGUUGAACGCUGAGACUCACGGACUGAGAGAGUCGUUUCACACCCAAGGGGCUGGGGAGAGAACAGGGAGACCCUGUGCGGGUGAGACGGACCUGCCUGGGCUGGGAAGCGCGGUGUGGACCCGGAGAGCGGAGGUUGGUGAUGCAGGGCUGCGUUUUCCCAGGAUGGGCAUCGAAGCUCCCAGCCGAGGCUUCCAGCAGUGCCUGCAGAGAGAUGGCCCAUGGGGCGGAUGGGCUGUCCAGGCACUGCAGGAGCUGCUCGCUGUCCUUCUCAGGGAAGUUGAAAUUAGCCAGAGGCCAGGUUUGGAUGCAGCCGAAGCCAAAGUCAUGUGUGGUACCUGCUUUCAGGGGAACAGUACAGAGUUCCAGCUUACAGUGGUCCCCAGAGGGUUCAUGGAACUUGGGGUUUUUAAUGGAGCUGCAGAGACAAUGGUGUGAGUUCCCAGGAUACCCUGAUGAGGAAGCCCACAUCCACCACUCUUUGGAAAGAAAAGCAGAAAUUUUAUACCAAGUACCAUACUUUUUCUGAUGUUAAAGAGACACCAAAAUAGUGUCUUGAAUAAACACUUGAAAUAGUUUCAGGCUGA